ACCAGAUCUAAAGUAUGUGUAGGAUUUUAAAUUAUUUAAUCUACUAUUUUUACGAUAAAAAUUUUAAAAAUGCAUGCUUUGAACUGUCCAUUUUUCUUUCAUUAUGAAUUCAGAUCUCCAUCUCCACCCAUCUCCACGCCAUCCUCUCUUCCUCCUCUGUAUCCAAUGCCUAAGGGUUGGGUGUCCCAUCUUCCCACAUGCCAAAGUAAAGAGUGAUUUCUUCUAUAUCAAGGAACAAGGAGAAAGACUACAGUUCAAGUGUUGAAAUCAUAAUCAAAGAUCAAUGUUUGAUCAAAGAUCUAAAAGGCUGAGAUUUGUCUUGGAGAAGAUGGAUCAAGUACGAAAAGAAACAUUUAAGAUUGAUUCUGAUGGAUACCUGUAGAGGCUAGACGUGUACGUGGC
rnacentral:lncRNA from 1 species